AGCGCUGGAAGGGCUGCGUGCGGGGGAGCUCAGCUCUGUCGGGUUCUGCCCCGCUGCCACCGCCGGCGCCGCUGCUCACGGCGGGUCGAGCCGCCGCAGCCAGCACGGGGCCGCCUAUUAGCCGGCAGCUCUAUAGUAUUUGGCAACCUUCCCCACAAAAUGAUAAGAAACUACAGCACUGCACAUCAUUAAAAAGAGGUACUAGCUACUCCCCUACUGAGAUGAACAGUACAAACAGCAUGUGAAAAUGUCAAAUGAAAACAACAAGAUGAAAAGUGAGGUCUGUACCUGUCAUGCACUGUUCGCUGCACUCAAGGACUGCAGUGUCUAGAGAGCACAGUUUGCUGAGGACAUCACUGCUACCAUGCAGGUCUGGUUCGAUUUGUUUGCCAUAUAAGAGUAUUACAUUAUCAUCAACAGGUGAAAUCUUUGGUGAGUCCAAAUGUCAGCAUUGUAAAGAGACAUUUGUCUUGCAAGUCUGUAAUGUAAUUUUGAUAUAAUCUGCAGAAGGUUAAUGUAUAGUAAGAGGGGAUGAUUUUGCAAAGUUUUGUGCCCAUUAUCUGUUUUUCUUGAGACCACAGACUGUGUUUAUUGGAAACAGCCCUAUGCAUUAUUUCAGCGCAGAACAAGAGGUUUUCUGAGGCUCCUCCUGCUGUGCAAAGCCCUGCAGAGACGUGCUAUAUCUAUUUUGUAAAUCGUGCUCUUUCAUGUUGCCUGCACUGUGUACUCCACAGGUGACCAGCUCCACUGGUCAGCCAUCCUAACUUCCACUUACAUCCUUACUGUUAGUGCUAUAUGGUAGAUGGGAAUCUCUAAAGUCUGAAAGUGCCAGAACACCCAUGGAAACCUCAACAUUUUAAUGAGCACAAAAAAAAUUCACUUCUUACAGGACCAAAUAUAUGUGGUGUGAAAACUUUUAAGUCUUAAUGCAGAUUUUACAAGGGCACUGUCUUUAAAGAACCUAGUUCAUUAAUGAAACACCUUAAUUUUAAUGGUCAACUCUAAACUCAUUGACAAGAAUCGGAGUCAGCUGAUGGGCACUGCGAUCCACCCAGAAAUAACAGUAAAAAGAUACUGCCCCAGCAAAGUCUAAGUGAUCAAGAGGAAAGACAUAUAUGUUUAGCGACCUUGUUAGCUGUCUUGUUUAACUGACAAAAUCACAAAUUUAGUUUCAUUUUGUCAGUUUUCACACUGUUUGUAUCUCUGGCAGAGGAAUGUGUGCUGUUGUCAUUACACUGCUCUAAUUUCCAUGGUGUUUGAGUCACAGCAGUGUCUCUUCAGCCACGAUAAUGCCAUCAGUGAAUCCCACAAUACCACUGCUGCCGAAAAACAAUUUUAUUUUUCCUCUUUCAUUUGUUUUUAUUCUGGUAAUCCACAGUUAUGUCUACAUGAGUAGAUACAAUAUCAAGUCACAUUCUGAUGCAUGGGAACUAGAUUAUUUUACUGCUACAUUUUUAGAAGAGUCUAUAGCACAGUAUUGGCUUGAAAAUCUAGAACACCUCCAAUAAAGCUGUGGUUCAGGAGUUAAAAUGGGCCAGAAACCACUUCCAAAGGGCUGUUUUGGAGGGUGGCAGAGUAUCACAGUAUGGAUGUGGGUAACUCUGUGCCAAAUGGACUCGGUGCCAGAGAACAAUCCUGUGUGUUUUAAUGCUGUAAUACAGCGGAAAUCUAUUUCUCUCAGAUAUGACACAAUUACAUAUUUACAACUGCCAGGCAGAAACUGGAUUGCAGGUACAAAAUAUGAAGUUAUCUUGCCAAACAGCUAAUCUGGCUUCAGAGUCACUGUUUCAUGUUAGCUGUUGAAAGCCAGUAAACCACACUAUCGCUAUAUUAAUGAGUUCAAAUAUGAUUCAAAACACCAUAUGUUAAGUUUUAAUUGGUGUGUACAACCUGAAACUCUUAGAAACUUUUCAUUCAUAUAGGAUUGCAUGCAAGGCCUCACUGGACAUCUUUUCAUAAUUUCAUAUUUAAGGACUGAGAAUAACAGACAGAAAACACUA